GGUCGCCGGGGAACGGGUCGCGGUCCUGGAGGGGCCGUCGCGGUCGUUCGGCCUGAUCGGCGGCCU
rnacentral:tRNA from 1 species